AUACGAAGGGGGCUAGCGUUGUUCGGAAUUACUGGGCGUAAAGCGCACGUAGGCGGGCAUUUAAGUCCGGGGUGAAAUCCCAGAGCUCAACUCUGGAACUGCCUUUGAUACUGGGUGUCUUGAGUAUGGAAGAGGUGAGUGGAAUUCCGAGUGUAGAGGUGGAAUUCGUAGAUAUUCGGAGGAACACCAGUGGCGAAGGCGGCUCACUGGUCCAUUACUGACGCUGAGGUGCGAAAGCGUAGGGAGC
rnacentral:rRNA from 1 species